rnacentral:rRNA from 1 species
CGCCUGUUUACCAAAAACAUCCGCCUCUUGCAAAUCAAAGCAUAAGAGGUCCCGCCUGCCCUGUGACUAUGGGUUUAACGGCCGCGGUAUUUUGACCGUGCGAAGGUAGCGCAAUCACUUGUCUUUUAAAUGAAGACCUGUAUGAAUGGCAUCACGAGGGCUUAGCUGUCUCCUCUCCCAAGUCAAUGAAAUUGAUCUGUCCGUGCAGAAGCGGGCAUAAGUACAUAAGACGAGAAGACCCUAUGGAGCUUUAGACACCAGGCAGAUCACGUCAAGUAACCUUAAAUUAAUAAGUGGAAACGCAGUGACCCCUAGCCCAUAUGUCUUUGGUUGGGGCGACCGCGGGGGAAAAUAAAGCCCCCAUGUGGACUGGGGGCACUGCCCCCACAGCCGAGAGCUACAGCUCUAAGCACCAGAAUUUCUGACCAAAAAUGAUCCGGCGAACGCCGAUCAACGGACCGAGUUACCCUAGGGAUAACAGCGCAAUCCUCUCCCAGAGUCCCUAUCGACGAGGGGGUUUACGACCUCGAUGUUGGAUCAGGACAUCCUAAUGGUGCAGCCGCUAUUAAGGGUUCGUUUGUUCAACGAUUAAAGUCCUACGUGAUCUGAGUUCAGACCGG